rnacentral:rRNA from 1 species
CUACGGAGGGUGCGAGCGUUAUUCGGAAUCACUGGGCGUAAAGAGUACGUAGGCGGUUUGGUAAGUCAGGUGUGAAAUCCCGAAGCUCAACUUCGGAACUGCAUCCGAUACUGCCAGACUAGAGUAAUGGAGAGGCAGGUGGAAUUCUCGGUGUAGCAGUGAAAUGCGUGGAUAUCGAGAGGAAGACCAAUGGCGAAGGCAGCCUGCUGGACAUUUACUGACGCUGAGGUGCGAAGGCUAGGGGAGCGAAAGGGAUUAGAAACCCGGGUAGUCC